CAGAACAAAGCAAAUCAAUCCAAGUUAUAAGUUAUGCGGUGCACGCUCCUAUUAGUUUUGCUUGUAAUGGUUUUUAAAACUGAUGCCUGUUUUAGAAGCGGCGGGUCAUCAAGCUCAGGGUCCGGAUCGUAUUCCUAUGACGAGGACAUAGAUGGUUUAAGGAGACUUUACAACAGUCCAGUUACGAAAGUCGAAAGUUACUCCAGAUGGUCAAAGACUGGAGAAAAACA